GUAAUUAAUUUAAUGGCAAAAUGUCACCUGAAAUGGUGUCUAGUCUUCAUUUAUCUCAGCAUGAAUAUACUCGUUUCACUGCAAAAGAUACUAUGUGUUUGAUUAUGAGGUUUGCCUAGAUCCUGCUGGGUGGGAUAUUUGGUAUUAUAUGAUAGAUGUAUUAGCUUUCUGAGUCCAAAAUACUCUGGCUCCAAAACCCAUGUGGCCCCAGGGGUUUCACAUCAAGAGAUUGUGAACCUAUAGCACCCUUGUGAACAGUGUAAGUUAGAAAGGAUGCAGCUGACCUAAACCCGCCGCUGACCACCUUCUAAUGUGCCUGUCAUGCAGAUGCUGAAGUGCAUUGAGCUGGAUGAGCGGCUGAAAGCCAUGGACCAGGAGAUCACAGUGAACCCUCAGUUUGUACAAAAGAGUAUGGGCUCACAAGAAGAUGAUUCAGGAAACAAACCAUCCAGUUAUUCUUGAAACUAACAUCCAUCCUGAGCUAAACAAGAGAAACUACCAUCUUGGCCAGUGACAAGUGUUCGGAGGGCAGCAGAGAGGACCAAGCCUGUGUCACCUGGAGACUAAGAAAUUAAGUUUUGUUUUGACAUCUUCAGUCCUGUGUGCUUUCAGAAAACCAUUUUCUCUGCAAAGAAAGGAAACAGAUUUGCAAACUUUAAAGUCUGUCGUGGAUUUAUUUAUCCUCAGAUUAUUGUUACUGCAUUAAAUCUACCUUUUUGUUUUAA
rnacentral:lncRNA from 10 species